rnacentral:rRNA from 1 species
UACGUAGGGUGCGAGCGUUAAUCGGAAUUACUGGGCGUAAAGUGUGCGCAGGUGGCCGCGCAAGUCGAGUGUGAAAUCCCCGGGCUCAACCUGGGAACUGCAUUUGUGACUGCAUGGCUAGAGUGCGGCAGAGGGGGAUGGAAUUCCGCGUGUAGCAGUGAAAUGCGUAGAUAUGCGGAGGAACACCGAUGGCGAAGGCAAUCCCCUGGGCCUGCACUGACGCUCAUGCACGAAAGCGUGGGGAGCAAACAGG